rnacentral:rRNA from 1 species
UACGGGGGGAGCAAGCGUUGUUCGGAUUUACUGGGCGUAAAGGGCGCGUAGGCGGCCACCGCAAGUCGACUGUGAAAUCUCCGGGCUUAACCCGGAAAGGUCAGCCGAUACUGCGGGGCUAGAGUGCAGAAGGGGCAACUGGAAUUCUCGGUGUAGCGGUGAAAUGCGUAGGAUAAUCGAGAGGAACACCUGCGGCGAAGGCGGGUUGCUGGGCUGAUACUGACGUGAGGCGCGAAAGCCAGGGGAGCAAACGGG